rnacentral:rRNA from 1 species
UACCCGCACCCCGAGUGGUCGGGACGUUUAUUGGGCCUAAAGCAUCCGUAGCCGGUUCUACAAGUCUUCCGUUAAAUCCACCUGCUUAACAGAUGGGCUGCGGAAGAUACUAUAGAGCUAGGAGGCGGGAGAGGCAAGCGGUACUCGAUGGGUAGGGGCAAAAUCCGUUGAUCCAUUGAAGACCACCAGUGGCGAAGGCGGCUUGCCAGAACGCGCUCGACGGUGAGGGAUGAAAGCUGGGGGAGCAAACCGG